UGUGCGUGCAUUGCGGGUGUGACUGCUGUGUCACAUGUACAUCGGUCAGUGGCAGAGAGGCAACGUCUACACUCAGUGGUCUGACAUGUGAUCUCCUGAAUGAUUAGCAGCCUAACACU
ensembl:snoRNA LOC120093467 small nucleolar RNA SNORA17